CAAUAGCGUAUAUUAAAGUUGUUGCAGUUAGAACGCUCGUAGUCGGAUUUCGGGUCGGGCCGACCGGUCUGCCGAUGGGUACGCACUGGUCGGCGCGUCCUUCCUCUCGGAGACUGUUCCUACUCUUAACUGAGCGGGAGCAGGAUACGGGACUUUUACUUUGAAAAAAUCAGAGUGUUUCAAGCAGGCAGCUCGCUCUUGCAUGGAUUAGCAUGGGAUAAUGAAAUAGGACUUUGGUGCUAUUUUGUUGGUUUCGAACACCGAAGUAAUGAUGAGAAGGGACAGUCAGGGGCACUCGUAUUCCGCCGAGAGAGGUGAAAUUCUCAGACCAGCGGAAGACGAACCACUGCGAAAGCAUUUGCCAGGGAUGUUUUCACUGA
rnacentral:rRNA from 1 species